UGUCAUAAUGAGUCGGUAUGUAUUAUCUGAAUCUAAAAUUGAUGUUUAACUCUAUUUAAGCUCUAGAGUGGGGUUCUCUGGGUAGU